GAACUGGUGAAGCAGGAGAUGCUGGUACAGUAUCUGCAGGAUGCCUACAGCUUCUCCCGGAAGAUUACAGAGGCCAUUGGCAUCAUCAGCAAGAUGAUGUAUGAAAACACAACUACAGGCCCUGUUUGGGGUGCGCCGUAUGCUGCCUCUCAUCUGGUCUAAGGAGCCUGGCAUCCGGGAAGCCGUGCUUAACGCCUACCGCCAACUCUACCUCAACCCCAAAGGGGACUCUGCCAGAGCCAAGGCCCAGGCUUUGAUUCAGAAUCUCUCUCUGCUGCUAGUAGAUGCCU
rnacentral:sRNA from 1 species